CAGCAGUGGGGAAUCUUCCGCAAUGGACGAAAGUCUGACGGAGCAACGCCGCGUGAGUGAUGACGGCCUUCGGGUUGUAAAGCUCUGUUAAUCGGGACGAAAGGUCUUCUUGCGAAUAGUUAGAAGAAUUGACGGUACCGGAAUAGAAAGCCACGGCUAACUACGUGCCAGCAGCCGCGGUAAUACGUAGGUGGCAAGCGUUGUCCGGAAUUAUUGGGCGUAAAGCGCGCGCAGGCGGAUCAGUCAGUCUGUCUUAAAAGUUCGGGGCUUAACCCCGUGAUGGGAUGGAAACUGCUGAUCUAGAGUAUCGGAGAGGAAAGUGGAAUUCCUAGUGUAGCGGUGAAAUGCGUAGAUAUUAGGAAGAACACCAGUGGCGAAGGCGACUUUCUGGACGAAAACUGACGCUGAGGCGCGAAAGCCAGGGGAGCGAACGGGAUUAGA
rnacentral:rRNA from 1 species